UGGCGCCCGCUAGUAUUCUGGCGGGCAUGCCUGUCUGAGCGUCGUUUCGACCCUCGCCCCCGGCGUCUGUCGGGGGCGGUGUUGGGGACCGGCCACCACCCUUCACUGGGCGGCCGCCCCCUAAAUUCAGUGGCGACCACGCUGUAGCCUCCCCUGCGUAGUACUAAAACCACCUCGCAGGCGGAGAGCGGUGCGGCCCGCCGUAAAACCCCCCCAACUUUUACAAGGUCGACCUCAGAUCAGGUAGGGAUACCCGCUGAACUUAAGCAUAUCAAUAAGCGGAGGAAAAGAAACCAACAGGGAUUGCCUCAGUAACGGCGAGUGAAGCGGCAAAAGCUCAAAUUUGAAAUCUGGCCUCUGGCCCGAGUUGUAAUUUGCAGAGGAUGUUUCUGGCGAGGUGCCUUCCGAGUUCCCUGGAACGGGACGCCAUAGAGGGUGAGAGCCCCGUACGGUUGGUCGCUAAGCCUCUGUGAAACUCCUUCGACGAGUCGAGUAGUUUGGGAAUGCUGCUCUAAAUUGGAGGUGUACGCCUUCUAAAGCUAAAUACAGGCUAGAGACCGAUAGCGCACA
rnacentral:rRNA from 1 species